CUAAACCCUACAAGAAUAUUUUCAAAAAAUUUCAUCAUACAAUUUGUGAUGAGCUGAUAGGCACUAAUCAGUCCAAGCUUUUAAAGGUUGGUAGGAAUUGUUGCAACGUGAGGACAACGGAACAAAGGUCAGGUGGUUUAUUGUUUUGGGGUGUCUUUUAUACCUUUAUAAAACUGAAUGUAGGCAGUUAAGGUCGAACACGUGGGCAAUAAAGCGUGGAUUGUAUCAAACAAGUAAAAGGCAAGU
rnacentral:ncRNA from 1 species